AUACGUAGGGUGCGAGCGUUGUCCGGAAUUACUGGGCGUAAAGAGCUCGUAGGCGGUUUGUCGCGUCGUCUGUGAAAUCCUCCAGCUUAACUGGGGGCGUGCAGGCGAUACGGGCAGACUUGAGUACUACAGGGGAGACUGGAAUUCCUGGUGUAGCGGUGAAAUGCGCAGAUAUCAGGAGGAACACCGGUGGCGAAGGCGGGCCCCUGGGUAGUCACUGACGCUGAGGAGCGAAAGCAUGGGGAGCAAACAGGACUAGAUACCCGGGUAGUCCAUGCCGUAAACGGAGGGCGCUAGUUGUGGGGUCCUUCCACGGAUUCCGUGCCGCAGCUAACGCAUUAAGCGCCCCGCCUGGGGAGUACGGCCGCAAGGCUAAAACUCAAAUGAAUUGACGGGG
rnacentral:rRNA from 1 species